rnacentral:misc_RNA from 1 species
GCGCCCAAUGUCUUCUGUUCAUUUCCAGAUAUACACAGUAAGAAAAACAAACUAAUUACAAUCCGAAAUAUCACAGGAUAGAUUGUGUAAUUAAACAUUUCUCUCUGAUAAGAGAUCAGAUCAUACAAUGUGUUUAGAUUCUCAUCAGUGAAUAUUUUCUGCCGACAAACCAAAAUAUAUCUCGUGAAUUAACAGUACAGCUCCCUCUUCCUCAUCA